AUUUUUUGUAAGUUUAACAAACUUAAACUAUCAAGUUUUAGUCUCAGGUCACAGUGCUGCCCUGUUGUGAUUGGCUCAAAACUCAAGACAAGUCUGGGCUUGUCAGUUGGAGGUUACAGAGAAAGUUGCGCCAUUUUCACAGAGCAAUUUAAGGUCAUUGCACUUUGCAUGUUCCUAGGACAAUACAUUUCUGCCUGCAUUCUUCUGUUUUUAGCAAGAUUGGACGCUUAUAAAGGACAUUUGCCUGCUAUAAAGAGGAUACCAUUUUCUGCCUGAAUGAGGUGAGCUGUUUUCUCUAUUCAAGUUUUAGAAACUGCUGGAACAUUUCUAGUUUGAAACAUGGACGUUUGAAUGUGUGUAAAUUUGAGGUUGACUUAGGUCAAUUUUGAGCAUUGGACAAUUGCAGCAUUGUGUUUUUAGAGUAGCCCUCUCUACUUUGCCCUCCUAUUUUUGUUUAAAGCCAUGUUAAAAUGUCUUGGAAAGCAUGAGCCUGACAUCAGCCAGAUGGUCCAAAGCUGGCCAGCACUUUUCACUGAAAGCCAGGUGUACUUGGAGUUUAACAGGGUUGCUGGUAGAAAUCUUAAAGAAGAGUUCUUUGGUGUUCUUGAUGGUUUGUGUCCAAGCUUGAUGGAAAUCUUCAAGAGGAAGCCAGGUCGGAUAAGCAAGCAGUUAGCUGACCUGCUACAACAGACAAGGAGCACUGAGCCAACAGCCAUUAGAUGCCUUGUCCUGAGAGGACUUCCAGUCAUUCUUGGGGAUGAUGCAUCUAUGUUCUAGAAUUAAGAGCAGUUUGAAUCUUAAUGAGGGAGCCUCCGUGGGAAUCCUCUGCUAUGAGGACACCAGCACUGCAAGCCCAGCCAGCCCAGCAUUGCCACAACUAAACCCCUCAAGAGUGGGGAUCAUCCUAGAGGGUAGCCUUGUAAUGGAAGCACUCACCAACCUACCUCAGGCCAUGUGCCUCUCGUUUGGCUUUACCUAUGUACUCCACCUGCAGUACCCGAAGUGCUUAAAAAACACAUUUACCUUCAUUCAGCAGGUAAUGCUAAAUUUAGGUUGAAGUGAGCUACCUCCCAAGGUUCAAAAGCUGAAGAAUGAUCUUGCAGUGUAAGACACAUUUGUGCUCAUGGCACAAUUCUUCAGGUCCGUGUCUGGAUUGUUGCACAAAUACAUUGUACUGACUGGAGCAAAUAUUCUUGCAGUUGCUCAUUUUGUAUGUGGUUCUUCUUGUACUGGAUGUGUCUAGUAUUGCUUGUUUUACUGAAAUUAUUCUACAGAGGACACAUUUUAGAAAGUUGCAGGUUUUUUUUUUUUUUUUACCAACUCUGGUCCCCACUGCAUAGUUGUUCUUAAUGCCCGCUUUGUUGUGUAGCAGACAAAGCAUGCAGUUUUUUCCUUUUGCACUUGCAGUACAUGCUGCUACAUGAUCAGUGUUUUUGUUGUUGUUGUUGUUGUUUUUCAUUUCAUUUUAUGAAAACAAGGUCUUACUGUUAUUGUGUUUGUUGUGUUGUGUGUACAGUUUUUU